rnacentral:rRNA from 1 species
AAAUUGAAGAGUUUGAUCAUGGCUCAGAUUGAACGCUGGCGGCAGGCCUAACACAUGCAAGUCGAACGGUAACAGGAAGAAGCUUGCUUCUUUGCUGACGAGUGGCGGACGGGUGAGUAAUGUCUGAGAAACUGCCUGAUGGAGGGGGAUAACUACUGGAAACGGUAGCUAAUACCGCAUAACGUCGCAAGACCAAAGAGGGGGACCUUCGGGCCUCUUGCCAUCGGAUGUGCCCAGAUGGGAUUAGCUAGUAGGUGGGGUAACGGCUCACC